AACGAACGCUGGCGGCGUGCUUAAUACAUGCAAGUCGCACGAGAAAGUCUUCGGACGAGUAGAGUGGCGCACGGGAGAGUAAUACAUAGGAACGUACCAUCAAGUGGGGAAUAACCACUGGAAACGGUGGCUAAUACCGCAUGGUGUCGAGAGACUAAAGAGGGCCUCUAUUUAUAAGCUCUCGCUUGAUGAGCGGCCUAUGUCCCAUUAGCUAGUUGGCGGGGUAAAGCCCACCAAGGCGACGAUGGGUAGCUGGUCUGAGAGGAUGAUCAGCCUCACUGGGACUGAGACACGGCCCAGACUCCUACGGGUGGCAG
rnacentral:rRNA from 1 species